AAUCCCAAACCGGAACUCCUGUUUACAGGGUUACAUGCAGUCAAUUUGAUAUAUAGCACACAUUGUUCAGUGAAUGCUGCCUAGGAUUUGUAAAAUAGAAUGCAAAUGGUUGUUUUUGGUAUUAAUUUGAAGGUAUAUUUGUAAGCAAUAAGAAAAAAAGCCAUUUUUGUGCUCUACUUUUUCUGUCGAUGGUUCCCGGCUUUGAAAGUAGGUCAUACUAUUUGAGUAAAAAUGGUCGCCUCCACAUGUGUCAAAACUGGUGUGCCUAUUCUAAGGUCCGGCUGAAGUGACAGGCCAUCAAAAACUGUACAGCAUGACUGAUUCGGAGACAGCCCUCAACACUCGCCCAGUCGUGUCGAGAGGAUCGGUGUCUUUGUAGAUUACACGGAAUCGAGCACCCGGGCCAGACUGACACUUUCCGGAGCCUGUCCGAGACGGAACGCGAGCCUAGGAAUCAUAGGUCCAGGUCCGGCUGAAGUGACAGGCCAUCAAAAACUGUACAGCAGGACUGAUUUGGAGACAGCCCUCAACACUCGCCCAGUCGUUUCGAGGGGAUCGGUGUCUUUGUAGAUUACACGGAAUCGAGCACCCGGGCCAGACUGACACUUUCCGGAGCCUGUCCGAGACGGAACGCGAGCCUAGGAAUCAUAGGUCCAGGUGUGGCAAACGACUUAAAGCUCUUGUCUGACGAUCACUUUUUUUGAGUCAGGAAUUCAAGUGUGUUGUAUUUCCAUGCAAGCAAGCCCUUUUGUUGGGUGAAAUGGCAUCAGAAAUGCUGCUUCUACAUGGAUUUUACCAAAAAUGUGCCCCCCCCCCCCCAAAAAAAAGUUUGUUCGAAACCUGUUCAAAACCUGCUUUGAUGCACAAAUAUUGCCAUUGAUGAUUUUUGUCACUUCUUCAGUCAUCUGUUACAUCAACUUUGCCUAUUAGAAUCGAAAGUGAUGACUUGUAUGAAGUCUAAGUGCUGCAUGUAUGAUGAAACCAAGUUUGGCUUUUCUUCCAUAAUUCUUGACGCGAAACGCUGUUACGCAUGACGCUUUCAACGGCGACUUUUAUGAAUAAAUCUGUGUGUCAUUGUA